rnacentral:sRNA from 1 species
CUGAAAUCCUCUGUGUACAGAAACCACAAAACAAAUAAAGCACAAGUAGCAACAAUCCAAUCUCUCCCACACUGCCCUGCCAAUGCACCUCAACCCUGCCUUAAAAUGUUAAUUUUCAAUGGUCCAGUGAAUUCUUCACUUGUUUGCUAAG